GACGGGGGAUGCAAGCGUUAUCCGGAAUCACUGGGCGUAAAGCGUCUGUAGGUGGUGAUGCAAGUCACUGGUGCAAAACUCUGGCUCAACCGGAGGAAAGCCAGUGAAACUGCAUGACUAGAGUGUGGGAGAGGUAGAAGGAAUUCCUUGAGUAGCGGUGAAAUGCGUAGAUACAGGGAAGAACACCGGAGGCGAAAGCGUUCUACUGGAACACAACUGACACUGAGUGAAGAAAGCUAGGGGAGCGAAUGGG
rnacentral:rRNA from 1 species